CGGGUAGAGUAACACGUGAGCAAUCUGCCCCUGACUCUGGGAUAAGCGCUGGAAACGGCGUCUAAUACUGGAUACGAACCGUGGAGGCAUCUUCAACGGUUGGAAAGAUUUUUGGUCAGGGAUGAGCUCGCGGCCUAUCAGCUUGUUGGUGAGGUAAUGGCUCACCAAGGCGUCGACGGGUAGCCGGCCUGAGAGGGUGACCGGCCACACUGGGACUGAGACACAGCCCAGACUCCUACGGGAGGCAGCAGCC
rnacentral:rRNA from 1 species